rnacentral:rRNA from 1 species
UACGAAGGGGGCUAGCGUUGCUCGGAAUCACUGGGCGUAAAGCGCACGUAGGCGGAUUCUUAAGUCAGGGGUGAAAUCCUGGAGCUCAACUCCAGAACUGCCUUUGAUACUGAGGGUCUUGAGUUCGGGAGAGGUGAGUGGAACUGCGAGUGUAGAGGUGAAAUUCGUAGAUAUUCGCAAGAACACCAGUGGCGAAGGCGGCACUCUGGGCCGGUACUGACGCUGAGGAGCGAAAGCGUGGGGAGCGAACAGG